rnacentral:lncRNA from 1 species
AGAAAAUUUGCACACCCUAUCUUUUAUAACCCCUUUCUCUUUUGGAUGGUAAUACAAUACCCUGAUAACAGGGGCGGAGCCAAAUAAAAGAGUUAUGAGGGUAAAUUUCACAAAAUUUUAAUUGUGGAGACAAAAUUGAAAAUUAUAAAUCUUGAAAAAUCUUAAUUUAAUGUUUUGGAAUUGAAAUUUAGUGUCGGGGCAGCUGAUUCCACUGGUCCCACACUAACUUUGCCCAUGCCUGAUUACGACUCCUUAUUUAUAAGACAAAUUAACGUACACUAGAGAAAUAUGUACCAAAUUAACAAGACUUUCCAACGAAGUAAUUUUCUGUUUCUCUUGGUCCUUGACAAAGUUUUGAAUUCAAAGGGCUGGGUUGCUUUUGCAGAUGUAUUUGUUUCAGCUAUGAAUGUAGGUAAACUCUCAUCAUUCUUCGUAAAAACACCGAAAGGUACACUCGCAUGUUAUCAAAUUUUCCUUGAACUAAGAGAUAAAAAAAGGAACUAAGGUAUUAAAUAAGGAUACAUUUAUUUAUUUAUUUAAAUAUGAUCUUCAUAAUUACAAUCUAGUUUCCAUGCAAGGUCGAAAGAAAUCAAAAUAGCAAAUGCAAAUCUCUCUUAGAGCUGUCAGCAUAUUCCACAAUACUAAGAAACACAUUCUCAUGACAAGGUAAGACAAUUUUGGAAUUAUUCUCAAAUCCAAACUGUUCUUGUGCCAGAUGAAGCAAGAAUUUGAAGAGAGGAUGGUUUAAUAAGCUUAAAUUGACAACAUAUCUCUUGCAAUUGUCGCCUACAUAUACCACAAAAUGACCUUCUGGAACAUCUUUUGGGACAAACUCAUAAUCUUCAUCCAGGCUGCUUUUAGGAUAAUCCCAUGUUAAAAGGUUGAACAUUCUGGAAGCUGUUCUUUUGAACUUCCUAAGGUAUAUUUUGAGACAAUUUUCUCUUCUCAUUCUCAUGCAUGUACGAGGGAGUCUCUGAGAGAGAAGCGAGCGCGCGUAUAUAUCUAUCAACGGCCUGUUUCUGUGUAUAUGUAUUCUUGAAUGACUAUAUAUAGGAUAUAAAAGAUAUUUCAGAAGGGGUACAAGUCACCUUUUUUCUUCAAGACACAUUAUCUUUGUCUGCUGCAUCAUUAACUGUUAACCAGUUAAAAUAAUAACUUAUUUAAAAGUUUAAAUAAGCCCGUGUUUUUCUGUCAUUAAAGUAGGAAAAUGAGUCUCGGAAUAGUGAAUUUUUGAAUAAUGUGUGGUUAAAAAGAAGGAAAAAGUUUUAAGGUUACAUUUAAAAUGUUUUAUUAUGAGAAUAGAUGGUUAAAAAUGAGUUUGUGAGAAAAAAAUUUGAAAUAAUGAUGUACAAACAGGGCCUAAGUUAGCG